CCAGCCCCCUUGUGGCCAGCCCCCCAGCAGUGCGAGACGUCCCCACAGGCCCUAAGUGUCCCUCAUACCAGUGAGCACCUCACCAGGCUCCUCAGGGACCUUCCCAGGAACUGUCCUUCUGACCCUUCCUCCCGCCUCUCCUCCCUCCAUCGUGCACACUCCCGCUCCUGCAGUCACGCCCUUGUUCCGAACACGAGGGGGCUCUACGUCCCUGCUGAAGCCCUGACCCAUGCACAGAGGUCGCCACGCUGAGGGAGGGGCCAAAGCCCCACUCCAGACACAGGCACGCCUUUCACAAGGGCCUGCACUGACACUAGCCCCAAACCGGGAUAGUAGACAAAUCCACCAUGCGAACUCGUCCUCCGGGGCUGGGCAGCACACAACCAGCCCUACAAAGGGAAGAAGGGAGCAGGGGACCUGGGCCCAGACACCCACACAGGUCUGCACCUUCCAGCAAGUGCCGCUGACGGCACCCCAACCCAACAUGCAACUUCCCAAAGGGCACGGGGCUUAGGUGGGUCUCCCGAGGCCAUCUGGAAAGCCUACGGCCCGAUCCGAGCUCCUACGAGUAUGGGAACAGAACCAUCAGUUAUGCCCCGAGGGACUCCGUUCUCCCCGGCCCCCAGUGUGGUACGAGAGCACA